GAUGAUGAACGUAGCGAAAUGCGAUACUUGGUGUGAAUUGCAGAAUCCCGUGAACCAUCGAGUCUUUGAACGCAAGUUGCGCCCGAAGCCAUUAGGCCGAGGGCACGCCUGCCUGGGCGUCACACGUCGUUGCCCCCCCAUCUACUCCUUCGGGAUUGCGGGGGGCGGAUGAUGGCCUCCCGUGCGCCUCGUCGCGCGGUUGGCCUAAAUGCCAAGUCCUCGGCGACGCACGCCACGACAAUCGGUGGUUGCGAAACCUCGGUUGCCCGUCGUGUGCGGUCGUCGCGCAUCGAGGGCUCGAAAAAAUUGCCGGGCUUCGGCUCGACUUUCAACGCGACCCCAGGUCAGGCGGGGUUACCCGCUGAAUUUAAGCAUAUCAAUAAGCGGAGGA
rnacentral:misc_RNA from 1 species